rnacentral:rRNA from 1 species
AUACGUAGGGGGCGAGCGUUGUCCGGAAUUACUGGGCGUAAAGGGCGCGUAGGCGGCUUAAUAAGUCUGAUGUGAAAAUCCUGGGCUUAACCCAGGGCUUGCAUUAGAAACUGUUGAGCUUGAGGACAGGAGAGGAAAGCGGAAUUCCCAGUGUAGCGGUGAAAUGCGUAGAUAUUGGGAAGAACACCAGUGGCGAAGGCGGCUUUCUGGACUGCACCUGACGCUGAGGCGCGAAAGCCAGGGGAGCGAACGGGAGUAGAUACCCCGGUAGUCCUGGCCGUAAACAAUGGAUACUAGGUGUGGGAGGUAUCGACCCCUUCCGUGCCGCAGUUAACACAUUAAGUAUCCCGCCUGGGGAGUACGGCCGCAAGGCUGAA